UCCGGUUGAUCCUGCCGGACCUGACUGCUAUCGGAUUGAUACUAAGCCAUGCGAGUCAUUGUAGCAAUACAAGGCAUACGGCUCAGUAACGCGUAGUCAACCUAACCUAUGGACGGGAAUAACCUCGGGAAACUGAGAAUAAUGCCCGAUAGAACAUUAUGCCUGGAAUGGUUUGUGUUCCAAAUGAUUUAUCGCCAUAGGAUGGGACUGCGGCCUAUCAGUUUGUUGGUGAGGUAAUGGCCCACCAAGACUAUUACAGGUACGGGCUCUGAGAGGAGUAGCCCGGAGAUGGGUACUGAGACACGGACCCAGGCCCUAUGGGGCGCAGCAGGCGAGAAAACUUUGCAAUGUGCGAAAGCACGACAAGGUUAAUCCGAGUGAUUUGUGCUAAACGAAUCUUUUGUUAGUCCUAGAAACACUAACGAAUAAGGGGUGGGCAAGUUCUGGUGUCAGCCGCCGCGGUAAAACCAGCACCUCAAGUGGUCAGGAUGAUUAUUGGGCCUAAAGCAUCCGUAGCCGGCUCUGUAAGUUUUCGGUUAAAUCUGUACGCUUAACGUACAGGCUGCCGGGAAUACUGCAAAGCUAGGGAGUGGGAGAGGUAGACGGUACUCGGUAGGAAGUGGUAAAAUGCUUUGAUCUAUCGAUGACCACCUGUGGCGAAGGCGGUCUACCAGAACACGUCCGACGGUGAGGGAUGAAAGCUGGGGGAGCAAACCGGAUUAGAUACCCGGGUAGUCCCAGCUGUAAACUAUGCAAACUCAGUGAUGCAUUGGCUUGUGGCCAAUGCAGUGCUGCAGGGAAGCCGUUAAGUUUGCCGCCUGGGAAGUACGUACGCAAGUAUGAAACUUAAAGGAAUUGGCGGGGGAGCACCACAAGGGGUGAAGCCUGCGGUUCAAUUGGAUUCAACGCCGGA
rnacentral:rRNA from 1 species